GCUCCAUUAGCUCAGCUGGUUAGAGCAUCGUGCUUAUAAUUUGGUCAAAGUUAUGCUAAAGUCACGCGGAUGUCGCCAGUUCGAUCCUGGCAUGGAGCA